rnacentral:rRNA from 1 species
UUUAAAGAGAGUUUGAUCCUGGCUCAGGACGAACGCUGGCGGCGUGCCUAAUACAUGCAAGUCGAACGAACGGAGGAAGAGCUUGCUCUUCCAAUGUUAGUGGCGGACGGGUGAGUAACACGUGGGCAACCUGCCUGUAA